AGACAACAAAUACAAUAUCAAAAAAUAAAACAAGCAACAACAUCUGCCCCAUCUUCAGCCUCCUCCUUGGCGGCUUCUAGCCCUGGAGGACAGAGAUCCAUUGACUUGAUGUUACAGCAAGUAAAGGUGAUUGGCAAAUAGGCUUAAUUGCC